rnacentral:rRNA from 1 species
CCUACGGGUGGCAGCAGUGAGGAAUAUUGGUCAAUGGGCGCGAGCCUGAACCAGCCAAGUCGCGUGAAGGAUGACGGCCCUACGGGUUGUAAACUUCUUUUAUAAAGGAGUAAAGUGAGCCACGAGUGGGUUUUUGAAUGUAUUGUAUGAAUAAGGAUCGGCUAACUCCGUGCCAGCAGCCGCGGUAAUACGGAGGAUCCGAGCGUUAUCCGGAUUUAUUGGGUUUAAAGGGAGCGUAGGUGGGUUUAUAAGUUAGUGGUGAAAUUUUGCGGCUCAACCGUGGGACUGCAGUUGAUACUGGCGGCCUUGAGUACGGUUGAGGUAGGCGGAAUGCGUGGUGUAGCGGUGAAAUGCAUAGAUAUCACGAAGAACACCGAUUGCGAAGGCAGCUUGCUAGACCGCCACUGACAUUGAUGCACGAAAGCGUGGGGAUCGAACAGGAUUAGAUACCCCUGUAGUC